CUCGGAAUGAAAGGAAGUGAAAGGGGGAGAGCUGACGGGGGCGCCAGAUUGAAGACUUUGGGAUUAAAUCUUUCAUUAACAGUUUAACCCCUAAAGGUAAGCUGGUGCCUGGGACCUCCACACACACAUUACCAACUUCAUUCAGAUUUCUUAUUUCUUUGUAGCAGAACUUGAUGAUCAGCCCUUUCUCUACAGAUCUUCAUUAUGGGCUUUAUUGAGCUUCUUACACAUAUUUUUCUGCCUGUUGUAGGAAAUUGUUUUACAAGGCUCGACUUUUUUUUUAGCAGAACUCAAUGCAGCUUUCAUUUGCAAAGUGUGCAUGAAUGAACCUGUGCAGGUGGCACCCAUGCAUUGAUUGGAAUGAAAUCCAUACCACAUCCAAGGUUAAUGCAUUGUAUGCAGGCGUUGGUGUUAAAUCUUGCUUCAGAUACCUCAGAGACAUAACGCCAAGAACUGUUCUCCAGAUAGAACCCUGCUCCAAGCUGAUAUUGAGCUGAAUCCUGUUCUUUUUCUUUAGAUCUUGCCUUAUGCUGCUCUUUCCACUGUGGGCUAACAGUUCUGCUUUGGACAAAUACUUGCAUUUAUAGACUACUGCCAAUGCAAGCUGCAUUCAAUGUGUGUCGUAGGGGUUUUCCAAUCUUUGCAAGAAGUGGACUUUGACCUCCUGAAGGCUUUUGAUGUGUCCUGCAUCCCUACAAUGGGACAUUUAGUUGAGCUGAUAAAAUAUUUAAUCUGCAUAAUCAAUGCAACAGGGUGGGGGGUUCCAGAUGCUAGUAAGUUCCUUGGUUUAAAUUAAACCACUUCUAAAUGGGUUUCCAUUAAAACGAUGAACAGCAUCAGCACACUAGGCAACCUAAUCACUACAGCAAACUACUCUAAAAAUAGUGGAGUGCUAAAAUAUUUCUGCUUAUCCUUAUCAACUUAUUAUUGUGGGUAUAUUAUAAAGUGCACAUGAAAAAUGAAUACGUAAAUUGAAUGUUGACUCAAUUAGAAAAAGCGGUGACAAGGAUUCCCAAUUAUAAUGGGGAACUCCACUAAUAUAAAUAUUUAAAUACACAUGCAUGGUGCACAAUCAAUAUACACAAACAUAUAAUCAAUAUGAAAAAAGGGGACAGAUUAAUAGUACAUAUACAUGAAAAUCUAUAAUAUAUAUAGAAGAGGGGACAACUAAAAAUUCUAAAAAAAAAUUUAAUCUAAAAGAUUCUUUAAAAAUUCUUAAUAGGGCUCUGUACAAAUCUAAUAAUGAAAUAGUGAAAUUGCUAAUAGGGCUUAUAGAAGAAAAUAAUUUUAAAGUAGUUAAAUAAUUCUACCCUCAAGAAUGGCAUAUACCAAAAUCUAUAUUAAGUCCAAAAGGCUAAAUUUUAAAUUAAAAAUCCACCGAAUUUCUGAUUAGACUACUUUCUUAACUAGGUCUUCACUUUACCAAUGGCCAAAAACCUUUUGUGUCCCCAAACUUUGCAGACCUUUUGGGUCCCUCAUCUUCCUGUCCAUACAAAUACACGAAAAUAAGUUCUGCGCUCGAACUCCCACUACUCCUGGACAGCAGCAACGACCAUAGCAUACAUCAGCCCAAUAGAUACAGUAAAAACCAAAGAAAAAAAAGUUACCUGCGCACUAGCCCAAAUCCCUAUGCAUAUUUUAAUACAUGGAGAUUAUUUAGUAACUCCAAUAGCCUUUAGAUGUAACCCACCUGCCACUGUCAAGUCAAACCUCUUAGGUGGGUCCUACACUAACAAUUCACCUUGCUUCAUUCAGCUUUAGGCAAAGAUAUCUCUAAUGACCCUCUAAUAUAUAUAUUGGUCACACACCUGUAAGUUUUUGUAAUUGCCUCAUUUAUUAUUAAAUCUCCCCCUCUGAUAAUAUUGUAAAGUGCUACAGACUUUGUUGGCGCUAUAUAAACGCCAAUACUAUUAAUAAUAAUAAUAAAAAUAAUAUGCAUGGGGAAUUUCAAAAGAGCAGGCUAACAAAAUCACCUGCCUUAUUGCCCAGCUGUAAAGGGAGUGUCUUUUUACAUGAUAGAUUAUCAAUAUUAUUAUUAUUAUUGGUAGUUAUUGGUAUUUAUGUGCAUAUUCAGUAUCCUUUGGAGGUGUGCUCUCUUCUGCACACAUCCUAAAUCGUGUAGUAAAGGGUACAAUUAAAGAAGCUAACACAAAUUUUGGAAGUGCUUUGGAAGAACCAAAUUUUUGCGUAACGUGCCUCAUUCUCUCUUCUCCCUCUUCUCCUUUAAAAAAAAAUCCUUUCUUAAUCUUUGUGUCUUUUUGUGACAACCUCUUCUUUAUGUUAUUAUUACUUGUUUUGUUUUUGUUUUGUUUUUUAGGAAGCUUUCAUUGCGUUUGUUUGCUUAUUUCCAGAAAUGAUGUCUGAAUUGAGUGACUCCUUGCAUUCUCCAAGAAACUUAAAUUCUCAGAUGUCAGUUUAAGUAAAGAUUUUUUUAUUUUUUUUUAAGGUAUGUCUGUCUUUCCAUAUCUGUACAAAUGUGUGUCUAUCCAAACACACAAAUCUAAUGUGCAGCACAUCUGUUGUCUGUGUGUCUGGCCUAGUGCUCUGUAAUUUUAUUUUGAUAUUAUCCAGACGCACACAUGCAGCCUAUUAUAAGACAGAAUGUAUAUAUUAUGUGAGUCACUGCACCAUGAGGUUUACACAUGUUUAGCUACAGAUGUGAAGUGUGGAAGAAAAGCUUAUUUUUAAAGCAUCAAUGACUGGCAGAGUUUAGAUUUCACAUAUACUGUAUUUCUGGAUGAAAUUAGAACUCACAGCUAUAUUUCAUGCAUUUUCAGUACAGUGUAAAAAUGUAGAAAUAUAGAUUUUGACAACACAGAAAAGAUCAUGUGAACUAAGAAUUACACCUUUAGCCUCUAUGAUACUGCUAAGGUAGGCAAUAUGUCCAUCCCAAGCAAUCUUAAAUUCAUCUAUUUAUUAAAGGAACACUAUAGGGUCAGGAACGCAAACGUGUUAAAACAACAAUCUAGCCUGCCUUGCCCCCCUUACCUCCCUAAAUGUAGUAAUAUCUUACCUGUAUUUAAGUCUGCAGCUGCUGGCUCUGCCCCUGACUCCCUGCUGUCUGAGGACAUCAUCAGAAGUGGCGGUCUGAGCCAAUCACAAUGCUUCCAUAUAGGAUUGGCUGAGACUGACAAAGAGGCAGGUCAAGGGCAGAGCCAGCACAAGUCAAACACAGCCCUGGCCAAUCAGCAUCUAUUCAUAGAGGUGAAUUGAAUCAAUGCAUCUCUUUGAGAAAAUUCAGUGUCUGCAUACAGAGGGUGGAGACACUGAAUGGCAGUACUGCACACUGUGGAGUGGCCAGUGGAGUUAUCACUAGGCUGUAACGUAAACACUGCAUUUUCUUUGAAAAGACAGUGUUUACAGCAAAAAGCCUAAAGGGAAUGAUUCUACUUACCAGAACAAAUGCAAUAAGCUGUAGUUAUUCUGGUGACUAUGGUGUCCCUUUAAGCUCGACAACCUCUGCUGGAAGGCUUCAACAAACCUCUACAAUACUCUCUUGAUGUAUAUAAUCAUGGAUACCUUGCACCAUUCUAUUAGGCUUGCCUAUGACUUUUCACUAAUGUACUAAUUUCCUUCUGAAAAUGAGGUAGCUAUUACCUUUACUUGCUUUUAUCAUACAAGUAAGAACUUAAAAGUAUCUGCUAGAGUUUAUGGUAAUAUUUCAUGCUAUAUGUGGAGCACAUAAACAAAACUUUUUGUCUGGUUGUUUUGCAUAGUACUAUAAAAUGAGUUUGUGGGGCAUCUCCGAUACCAAAAUGUCCCAUCCCUUUAUUUAUCUUGUUUUAGCAGAAUUACAGAAAAUUGGAUCAUGUACAUAACAAUUUGUAACUUUAUUAACAACUAUUACUAUUGGGGGCAGUUUUGUAUUAAACAACAUUUAAGAUGUUUGAGAUGACACAUUUUUUACGUAGUAGACAACCAGAGUAUUUUACAUUUAUCAUAAGACUUUAUAUGUAGUUAAGGAACUGCCGAUUGACAUUGCAUAUUGUUGCCUAGUUCGUUAUCUAUAACAUUUCCUAAAUCCUUCUCGUAUGUUGUUAUUCCUAAUUCACUACCAUUUAGGGUCUAAAUUGCUAUUCCUAAUUCACUACCGUUCAGGGUGUAAAUUGCUUAUACCUUCUUUACCUCAAAGUGUAUAACUUUGCAUUUUUCUACAUUAAAUUUCAUCUGCCAUUUGAGUGCCCAGUCUCCAAAUCUAUCUAAAUCCCUCUGCAGCAAAGCAAUAUCCUAAUCACAUUCUAUUACUUUUGAGAGUUUUGUGUCACCUGCAAAUUCCUCUUUCAGGAUCAUUUAAAAUCCGUUGAACAAAAACAUUCACAGAACAGAAUCCACUUACCACUUUUGCCCAGCUUGAAAAUGUACCAUUAAUGACAACUCUCUGUACUUCAUUGUUAAGACAAUGUUCUAUCCGAGAACAAUAAUUUUCAUCUAGAUCAAUUUCUAUUGUGUGGAGCUAUAUUGACCUUGGCAAAAUCCAAAUAGAUCACAUCCACUACAACACCCUGAUCUGUACUUCUACUUACUUCUUCGUAGAGUACAAUUAAGUUAGUUUGACAUGACCUAUGUUUCAUAAAAACAUGCAGAUUUUUUGCUUAUGUUCUCAAUGAAUUCCUGAAAAAUAUCCCUUAAUAGCUCAUCAAAUACUUUACCAGCCACACAAGUUAAGCUCACAGGUCUAUAAUUUCCAGGCAAAGAUUUUGAAUAAUACUGCCUGCCUCCAAUCCUCUGGUACAAUUCCUGAAAGAAAAGAAUUCUGAAAGAUUAAAAACAGUGGUUCGCUUAUUUCCACACUUAGCUCCUUAAGUACUUGUGGGAGAAUACUGUCAGGCCCUGGGGCUUUGUUUCAUUAACUUUCUUUACUUGCUGCAGCACCUUGUUUUGAAUCAGCAAAUCACAAGUUGUCUGCAAAAUUUUUGCAGCUAUCAUUUGCAUAUGUCUUACCAUAGAUUUUUCCUCAAAAUAUACUGAGGAAACAUUGUUAUUUAAAAUUUCUGCUUUUUUCCUGGUCUUCAUUAAAUAAAACACACUGAUUUCAGUCUGCCUACACUUUAAUUUUAUGUAUUUUUAAAUCUACGUACUUAAAAAAAAUGUUGGUGCUAGUUUUGCUCUCUCUGGCUGUCACUUUCUCAUUAUCUAGUUCAGUCCAUCUAAUCACCUUUUUGCAUUCAUUAUUGACUUCCUUAUAUCUCAUAUAGGAUGCCUCUGAUAUAUUAUUAUUUUAUUUUUAUUAUUAUUUUAUUAUUUAUAUAGCAGCAUCAAAUUCUGUAGAGCUGUACAAUGGGUGGACUAACAUACAUGUAAUUGUAACCAGACAACUGGAUGUACAGGAACAGAGAGGGGGAGGGCCCUGCUCCAUGAGCUUACAUUCUAGAGGGAGUGGGGAAUAGUGACACAAAGAGUAAAAGUAGGGGUACGAGGUAGGUUGUUAGAAAAGUAUUAAUUGAGGGCUUAGUAGGUCAUUUUUGACAGUUGCAGGAGACGAGUCAUGGAGGAUGGGGGAUAAAAACCUGCUAACAGUUUAAUUGAUAUGCUUUCUUGAAGAAGUGAAUUUUCAAUGAUAUAUAUGAUUUAAAUGCAAUUUUCUUAUUUUUCAUUUCUUGUUCUACCUUCCCACUAAGUCAUUUUAGUUUCAAUUUGUUUCUUUUACAUUUAUUACCCAAUGGUACAUAUUGAGAAGUGUACUUUGCUAAUAUUUGUUUAAAGUGUUUUUUUUGUACUAAAGAAUUUAUGCCAGUCAAUGCGUUGUGAAGCUGACAUAUUCUUACUGAAAUUGGCCUUUUCAAAAGUAUAUGUUUUAAUAUACCCCAUGUGAAUUAGCUUUUUUGAGUUUAUUUCAAAAUACACCAUAUUGUGAUCACUAUUUUCUACUCCCCUACUUGAAUGUUUUUCAAAAGAUCAGCAUUGUUUAUUAUAAUCAGAUCCAGAUAAGCAUUUUUUGUAGUUGGUGCUUUCACUAACUGUGACAUGAAGGUGCAAUUUAAUAGGUUCAAAAACCCAAUUUUCCCGAGCCCCUCUAUCCCAAUUUUUAAAAAUUCUUCAAUAAUUAAUCUUCAGAUGUACGAUUUUCAGCUGUUCUUCUUCAUCAAUAUCAAUAUUGAUACAGGUGGUUUAUAACAUAUUCCAACUAAUAACUGAUUUCAGGCCUGGACUGGCCAUCGGACACACCGGGCAAAUGCCCGGUGGGCCGCGGUGGCCAUGGGCCGAGGCCGGCAGGGGAGGUUACAAGAUCUCCCCAGCCGGUCCAUGCAGGGCUGACACUCUCCGAGCACCGGCCCCGCUGUGUUCCAUGACGGGCCAGUGGGGAGAUCACAGAUCUCCCUCACCGGCCCAUAAUCAAUGUAUUGCGGCCGCCGGCUGAUGAUGGAGACCGGAGAGGAUCCAGUCCGGCCCUGACUGAUUUCCAUUUUUUUGCCCCAAGCAGAUAUCUACCCAUAAAGCUUUCACAUUUUUCUCGUCACAUUCCACUUGCUUAACAUUUGGCUUCAAUUCAUGGUUGACAUACAAACAUACCCCAUCACGUUUACUGAUUUUUCUAUCCUUCCUAUAUAAUGUGUAACCAGUUACGUUAACUGCCCAGUCAUGUGUCUCAUUUUAUAUUUAUAUUCCAUAUUUCUUCAUGCCUAAAUAUUAUGUAACCUAGAGUACCAUUCUUCUCUUCUAAUAAACAAAUGCCUACGUUCAAUAAGCGUUAAGUAUUUAUGAGUAUUUACUUUCAUGCACAUGUACCACUAAAGUGAGAAUUCCUAUUGAAUUUAAAGUGCAUGCAUUUCUAAUUUAAGACCAAAAUAGCUGAUUUGGAAAUAUUCUCUAAGUCAUCUAUGCAUUAAGUUUGGUUACUUUGGCCUAAAACUUGGAAUUCACUUUGAAUUAACUAUUCACUAAAUUGUUUUUCAGUCUACUGUCUGUCUGCCAAAACAGGUGGUAACUGAUAAUAUAUAUAAUGUGCCUCCUCAAGGCUAUCUAUACUUAAAAUAAAAUAAAUAUCAGUCCCCUCAGAUGUCUCUUUUAAGGAUUCUGGAAAUUCUAUACUUUCAGGUAUAAAGUGAUAUUAUAAACAUCCCCUUUAGAGAACACUCCAUGCACCAUAACCACUUAAGGGAGCUGUAGUUUGAUUUCUUAUCUGGUGCCUGCUGAGUGCUGCUCCCUACCUCCACUGCAGCCAGAAGCUCUCAGCUCUGAGCUAAGCCUGGCAGUCACUGGCUAAGGGCAAUCUCAUAAUACUCUCAGCCAAUAAUCUGAGCCCUGCAUUGCAGGACUUGGCUCAGGAGAGCAUACAGAAGCUCCUCACAGCUCCAUCCAGCUCUCCAGGAGGCUGAGUGUAGGCCAGGAGUAGUACCUAACAGAUCCCAUGUGAGAAGCCAUGCUGUUAGUAAAGCGAGUUAUAGUGGUUAUGGUGCUUGGCGUGUUCAAUUAAUGGGGAAGAAUGGUCACGAUAAACACUGACAGGCCAGCUGCUCUGCAAAUUUCACACCACCUGACCAUCAGGGCCACCGACAUGCAAACUAUAUCUGGGUUUUUAAAGAUAGUGGGCAUUUAAAUCUCAUCUGGAGCAUUUCAUUUGACUUCGCUGAUCCUUACUCACCAAUUAUUAGUUCACAGAAUAAAACAAUCUGUAUUUUGUAGGAUGGAUAGAUAGGAACUAAAGUCAAUACAAUUGGGAAUAAAAUGAAUGCCAUUUUGUCAGAUUACAUUGUAACAACCAUUCAGUAACGAUACCACUUUUGUCAGAGUUUGGAUAUGUCAAGGCUAACCUUCUCAUGCUUCUAAUAUUCUGCGUAGAACUCUUCUCUUUGUCUACCUGUGAAUGAAUACAAUCUGAAUAGGUAUUUACAUGAAGAAAUUACAUGAAGAAUGUCCCAGUACUGUUUGGAAUAUUUCGAGUAUGCUCUUGCUUUAUUGUACACCUCUUAAUAACUAUUAUGGUUUGUUUUCUCAUCUGCCUACUGUAUUUUUAUUUUUUUUUACUCCAAAAUUAUGAAUAGAGCAUGCUUUAAAAUGCCUGAAAAAUGCUAAAUUGUGAGUGUAAUUGUGAGCCCAGCUGUGUUUUGGCCAUUACGUUUUUCACAGGAGGUUUAAAUAUAGAUGGACAGAUAUUUUUAAGCCGAGCAUCCCAGCUCUUACUAAUGUCAAAUCUCUAGCACAAUUCCAGGGUAUAUAAAAAAAAUAGAAAGAAAUCAAGUUUAUUGUCUGCGUAAUAUGCAUUCUACAUGUUGUGCUUUUCUUUCUGUGUUACUGUCUUUUUAAGGAUUUAGGUAAGCAUGGAUGGAGUCUACUUGUCCACCACAGACUGCAGCGCAGUUAAGCCAAUGGAGCAAAUCCUCUUGGGAAGCAAAACUGUCAAUUACCAUUUCCUUCCAGACGCUGCCUCCCAUUACAGAGCAAGACUUCAGGAAGCAAAACAGUGUUUGACAUCUCUGCUGUUCAGGAUAUCCAGCAGCACUGCUCAUUCACUCCCUAUCUCUCCACUGCCUAUGAUGCAAUUUGGGCUAUUAAUUACUAUGUGAGCUAAUAAACACAACUGAAAAACA